rnacentral:rRNA from 1 species
AUUGAACGCUGGCGGCAGGCCUAACACAUGCAAGUCGAACGAGUGGCGGACGGGUGGGUAAUGUCUGGGCACCUGCCUGAUGGAGGGGGAUAACUACUGGAAACGGUAGCUAAUCCCGCAUACCAUCAGAUGUGCCCACGUGGGAUUAGCUAGUUGGUGGGGUAACGGCUCACCAAGGCGACGAUCCCUAGCUGGUCUGAGAGGAUGACCAGCCACACUGGAACUGAGACACGGCCCAGACUCCUACGGGAGGCAGCAGUGGGGAAUAUUGGACAAUGGGCGCAAGCCUGAUGCAGCCAUGCCGCGUGAAUGAAGAAGGCCUUCGGAUUGUAAAGUACUUUCGUCGGGGAGGCGUUACCCGCAGAAGAAGCACCGGCUAACUCCGUGCCAGCAGCCGCGGUAAUAC